rnacentral:lncRNA from 1 species
GGGUUCUCACUAACAUGGACCAAACUGGCACUGGCUCAGGGUGCCAUAAGGGUGUUGUUGUACCUGCAUCAUUGAACACAGCGAUGCUAGUGGCUGCAACAACGGCAUCCUGAUGUCUGGCGACAAUUGGUCAUCAGUGGUUGAGCAGUAAAAAAGUUACACUCCUACUAGGACUCUACCAGAGAAUUUGAUUUCAGAUUAAUUAUUCCAAAAAUAAUAUUAUUUUAAUAGUAUAAUAUUAAAUUUAAUUUAAUAUUAAAUUGAUUAUUUUAAUAUUAAAUUAAUAUAAUAUUUAUCAUUUAUAUUAAUUUAAUAUUAAAGUUGUUAAGUUUAAUCAUAAUUAAACUCUCUAAACUCUCCUAAUAUAAAGAGAGUAUUGGGUCAUUAUUUUAAACAUACACUUGAAUUGAAGAGAAAGUUAUAGAGAGAAAAUUCUCUAAAAAGAUUAUUCCAAAAAAUUUCUAGAAAUAUUUUUUGAUUUACAACUUAACCCAAAAAUUUAGAGAAAUUACAAAAUUACUCCACUGCUAAUUUUUGUAAAAAAAAUUAUUCAAAACGAGCCCACGCUUGACAGAAGUGAGUUUGAAGAUAAUGGAUAAAACUACUCAGUCAAAGCACUCAUUCUAGACGAGUUAAAAAUGUACAAUUUUGAUUAAGUGUUUAUUACUUUAGAUAUCACAACCAAGAUCUUAUUUUGGAAAAAAAAUUUAAAACUCAUAUGUUUUCCUAAAUUUAUUUUCACUGCGUUUUUCAAACUCAUUUUUCUAACAUUUUCGACCAAUUAGCCUCUGUACAAUAAUUUACAAGAUUAUUUCAAAGGCAGUGACAAAUCGUCUCCAAAAAGUUCUAAAUGCAUGUAUCGAUAAAGCCUAGAGUGUCUUCGUGCCUGGAAGGCUCAUUACGAACAAUAUUUUGCUAGCUUUUGAAUUAAUGCACUCCCUAAAACAAACAAAAAAAGGGCUAGAAUGGGAGCUUAGCUUUGAAGCUCUAUAUGAGCAAAGUGUAUGAUUAAAGGUGUGCAAAUUUCGAGUAAAAUCGAAUUAAUUCGGUUAACCAGCCGAAUUCGGCUAAUCAGUCGAUUAACCAAAUUAAUUCGGUCAGAGGUUGAUUAAUAAUUUUUUGAAAGUUCGGUUAACAGUUAAUUUGGUUCGAAAUCGGUCAGUUAAUCGAAUUAAUCAAAUUUAAUAAAUAAUAUUAUUAUAUAUAAAUAUUCAAUCGGUUCGAUUAAUUUUUUAGAAAUAUAAAUUAAUCGGUCGAUUAAUUUUUGAUAUGUCUUAUACUUGUUUUAACCAAAAAUAUAUAUAUAUAAAUUUCAGUUAAUUCGAUUAACCGACUAAAUUAAUCAAAAAAGUUCAAUUCAGUUAACUUUUUUGAAAAAAUUUUGAUUCGAUUAACGGUUAAUGAUUUAAAAGAGUCGAUUAAUUCAGUUAAUAGUAGUUCAGGUCGGUUAACCAGUCAGUUAACCGAUUGAACACCCCUACGUAUGAUAGGGUGGAGUGGAAGUUUCCGGAAAAAGUAGAUUCAUUUGUGUCUUUAAUCAUAUGGUGUGUUACAAUAGUUAAUUAUUCGAUAUGCAUGGAUAACGAGAUGGGAGAGCGCUUCAGGCCAAUGAGAGGGUUGCAUGAAGGUGGUCCUCUAAGCCCCUACCUAUUCUUAAUUUGCAGUGAAGGACUUUCAUCACUAGUGAGGCUAGAACUAUUAAAGGAGCAAAGGUUUGCCGGCAAGGACCAACUAUUACCCACUUAUUACUUGCAGGCGACUAUUUUAUUCGAGGCUACGAAAAGGGGAGCCAAUAUCCUUAAAACCAUAGUACAAGAAUAUGAAAUAUGUUCAGGUCAGUGCAUAAAACUUCGAUAGGUCUAUGGCAUUUUUCAGUUCAAAUGUCCUAGAAUAAAUGAGGGAACAAAUUGCGAAUAUAUUGGGCAUACGAACUUCAAGAAACCCAAAAAGAUAUUUGGGUCGACCAAAUAUGGUGGGAAGGGAUAAAAAGAGAACUUUCCAACUUUUGAAGGAUAGAAUGAUUAGUAAAGUCAAAGGGUGGAGUACAAGGUUUUUAUCAAUGGGAGGGAAGUGUUCAUUAAAGUCGUGUUACAGGCAAUUCCUACCUACUCUAUGGCAUGUUUUUUUUGCCAAAAUCUUUUUACGUUGAAUUAGAAAACGUUAUGGGACAGUUCUAGCCGCAAAAAUGACACGGUAAACGUGGAAUUCAUUGGUACGAGUGGAGGAAGCUUGGUAAUUUAAAAUAGGAAAGUGGAAUGGGUUUUAGAUGCCUUUCUAAAUUUAAUGUGGCACUUUUAGCAAAGCAAGGCUGGAGUUUGAUUUGUUAUCCGGAUUCGUUAUUAACAAAAUCAUUGAAAGCAAAGUACUACCCAUUUAGAUUUCUUGCAAGCAAGGUUGGGGAAGUUACCAUCCUUUACCUGGAAAAGCUUAUGGUCAGCGAAAGGUCUACUUGAGAAAGGGAUGGGUUGGAGAGUAGGGUCUGGAAAGCAGAUAUUGAUUUGGAAUGAAGCAUGGGUCCCGGGCACUGAAGAUUAUAAGAUUCAAUCAUCAUAUUUUAAUUAAAAUUUAGUUUAUGUUUCGGACUUAGUUGAACAACAUUGAAAGAGUCAAUAAGAAGUACCUUUCAUCCCAAAGACGCUGAAAGGAUUCUGUGCAUUCCCCUACCCGUUGAGAAAGAAGCUGAUAAAGAUGGUGUGGCGAGACGAAGCCUCGGGGGUUAACACAGUUCGAAGUAGUUACAAAACAUUAUUAUAGAAUGAUCGGGACACAAAUUUACAAUUCAAUCAAAGUCACUAUAAACUUAUGCACAAAAAGCUAUGGCAUGUGGAGUGACCCUCAAAAACAAAAAUCAUGGUAUGGAAAACCAUUAAUAAUUUUCUACUUACUCAAACUAAUCUAUUCCAUCACAAACUGGUAAGCUUAGCAAACUAUAUGAGAUGUCUAAGGAGUGAAGAGUCGACAAAGCAUGUGUUUAGAGACUGUCCAUUCGCAAAUGAUGUUUGGACCAGACUAGGAAUCGGGUGGUCCCUGAAGCAAAAUCAACUACAGUAUAAGGAUUGGAUUCAGAAUUUAUUUGAAAGAGAGUCUAACCAAAGAAUUAGAACAAUAGUGUGUGCAAUAUGGGCAUUGUGGACAGACAGGAAUAAACUUCUUCACGAAAGGAAGAUGCAAACAAGUGCUAAUCUGACUCAUUUCAUCAUCGACUAUUUGCGAGAGUUAGAUGGGGUUAAUAAGAGAUUACCUAUCAGCAAACUGGUGAAUGAAAGCUGGAGACCACCAGAGGAUAUCAAUGUUAAAAUCAACUUUGAUGCUGCAUUUGACAAGCAACAUAAAAGGUCAUGCACAGUAAUAGUGAUUAGAAACUCUAGUGGUCACGUUUUAAAAACAAAAGUUCAUAAUAACAGACACAUACCAUCGACGUUUGCUGCAGAAGCUCUCGUUUGUGUUCAAGCGGUCAGGUUUGGGGCGGAGUCGGGGUUUUUGAGAGUUGAGGUCGAAGGAGACAAGCUAUCAGUUAUUAAGAAGAUACUUUGCGAGGAUGAUGACAGAUCUGAAAUUAGGUCUUACAUUUUAGAUGCUAAAAGAUUAAAGAGUAACUUUAUUAAUUGUAGAUUUAAGCAUGAAGGAAGACGAAUGAACAGAGUAGCACAUAUUUUAGUGAAAGAAGGGCUAAGUGAUGAAGGGAAUGCUUAUCUGGUUAAUGGUCUCUCCAAAUAUGCAGCCUAGGCUGUGAAGGAGGAUAAACGAGAAGGAGGAAUGGAUAACUGUCAGGCCCGGAGUAGGAACAAGGAAGCAAUGAGAUUUUGUUCUGAAACAGUUCAGAACGAAAUUUUUUGAAACGAGUUUUUUGACAUUUUGAGAAUCGAAGAGAGUUUUUGGGUGAAGGCAUUCCUGUUCCAAGUUGCUAAACACUGGUGCAACUAAUUAACGAGUUAAUUCGCUCAUGGUAGGGAUGCCUGAAUCAGAGGUGGGUUUGGUUUGUUGACGGAUUUUUCUAGAGCUUGGAAAUGAAGAAAUGGUGAAGAGAAGAAAAUGGUUAGUCAAAAUGAUGACUAGCUGUGAGUAGAUGUUAGGGUCUUGGUAGGAUAUUUGUUUGUUCAGGGACUGGGUUUUUUUGACAUUUUAGGAUUGGGCUUGUUUUGCUUUUCUUUUAUGGUUGGUUUGAAUUUUUUUUUCUUUAGUUGAUAUUAAUGAAG